rnacentral:sRNA from 1 species
UCUAGCUGCGCUGGGCUGAGUCAGUCAGUCUGUCGGAGUCUGUCCUCGGAGCAGGCGGAGUAAAGGGACUUGAGCGAGCCAGUUGCCGGAUUAUUCUAUUUCCCCUCCCUCUCUCCCGCCCCGUAUCUCUUUUCACCCUUCUCCCACCCUCGCUCGCGUAGCCAUGGCGGAGCCGUCGGCGGCCACUCAGUCCCAUUCCAUCUCCUCGUCGUCCUUCGGAGCCGAGCCGUCCGCGCCCGGCGGCGGCGGGAGCCCAGGAGCCUGCCCCGCCCUGGGGACGAAGAGCUGCAGCUCCUCCUGUGCGGGUACUGACUUGGGCAACAGCAGUGACUACAAGUGCCAUACUGACCAAUUGGAAGAGUCUUUGCUUAAAAGGCUUAUUAGUUUUUAGUCUUCAUUCUAUUUAAUGUUUUCAUGCCUUUAUAAACUUUUUACUUCCAGCCCAAUUUUUCCCAUUGUCUUGGCACAGGUCAGCUGUGUCCAAGUUUGUUAGGGUUUCAGCUAGCCAAAAAUGGUAUUUUCAUUUACUGAAAUUCUAAACAAAAUAAUAAAAGUUAAAGCACAGAUGAUGAUGCUACCUUAUUUUUCUACAUGUGGGAAAGCUUGAUUGAUAGUAAUGAUUAGCGCCUGCAUCUCACAAUCACUGAGAAAUGAAUGCAGCACUGAGCUCUGUUUACCCUCUAAGCUUGUCCCCAGAAAACAAUAUAUACCCUAAAUAGUAAGUUAUAAUAUUUUUAUUAGGGAACAUUAUUAGAGUUUUUUUUAAUAUAUCUCGUAGCCAUGUCAUGUUAAAUAAUCUUU